rnacentral:rRNA from 1 species
AAUGAACGCUGGCGGCGUGCCUAAUACAUGCAAGUCGAGCGAACCACUUCGGUGGUGAGCGGCGAACGGGUGAGUAACACGUAGGUGAUCUGCGCAUCAGACGGGGACAACGAUUGGAAACGAUCGCUAAUACCGGAUAGGACGAAAGUUUAAAGGUGCUUCUGGCACCGCUGAUGGAUGAGCCUGCGGCGCAUUAGCUAGUUGGUAGGGUAAAGGCCUACCAAGGCGACGAUGCGUAGCCGACCUGAGAGGGUGAACGGCCACACUGGGACUGAGACACGGCCCAGACUCCUACGGGAGGCAGCAGUAGGGAAUCUUCGGCAAUGGGCGAAAGCCUGACCGAGCAACGCCGCGUGAAUGAUGAAGGCCUUCGGGUUGUAAAAUUCUGUUAUAAGGGAAGAACGACUUUAGUAGGAAAUGGCUAGAGUGUGACGGUACCUUAUGAGAAAGCCACGGCUAACUACGUGCCAGCCGCCGCGGUAA